GGUCUCGUGGCCCAAUGGUCAAGGCGCCUGACUACGGAUCAGGAGAUUCCAGGUUCGACUCCUGGCGGGAUCA